rnacentral:rRNA from 1 species
CCUACGGGUGGCUGCAGUGGGGAAUAUUGGACAAUGGGGGCAACCCUGAUCCAGCCAUGCCGCGUGUGUGAAGAAGGCCCUCGGGUUGUAAAGCACUUUCAGUGAGGAAGAACGCCUGGUGGUUAAUACCCAUCAGGAAAGACAUCACUCACAGAAGAAGCACCGGCUAACUCCGUGCCAGCAGCCGCGGUAAUACGGAGGGUGCGAGCGUUAAUCGGAAUUACUGGGCGUAAAGCGCGCGUAGGUGGCUUGAUAAGCCGGUUGUGAAAGCCCCGGGCUCAACCUGGGAACGGCAUCCGGAACUGUCCAGCUAGAGUGCAGGAGAGGAAGGUAAAAUUCCCGGUGUAGCGGUGAAAAGCGUAGAGAUCGGGAGGAAUACCAGUGGCGAAGGCGGCCUUCUGGACUGACACUGACACUGAGGUGCGAAAGCGUGGGUAGCAAACAGGAUUAGAUACACUAGUAGUC